AUUGAACGCUGGCGGCAUGCUUUACACAUGCCAGUCGAACGGCAGCGGGGUAGUGCUUGCACUACUGCCGGCGAGUGGCGAACGGGUGAGUAAUAUAUCGGAACGUACCGAGUAAUGGGGGAUAACCAAUCGAAAGAUUGGCUAAUACCGCAUACGUCCUGAGGGAGAAAGCGGGGGAUCGCAAGACCUCGCGUUAUUCGAGCGGCCGAUAACUGAUUAGCUAGUUGGUGGGGUAAAGGCCUACCAAGGCGACGAUCAGUAGCGGGUCUGAGAGGACGAUCAGCCACACUGGGACUGAGACACGGCCCAGACUCCUACGGGAGGCAGCAGUGGGGAAUUUUGGACAAUGGGGGCAACCCUGAUCCAGCCAUGCCGCGUGUAUGAAGAAGGCCUUCGGGUUGUAAAGUACUUUUGUUAGGGAAGAAAAGGGAAGUGCUAAUACCACUUUUUGCUGACGGUACCUAAAGAAUAAGCACCGGCUAACUACGUG
rnacentral:rRNA from 1 species